rnacentral:rRNA from 1 species
UACGUAGGGUGCAAGCGUUGUCCGGAAUUAUUGGGCGUAAAGAGCUCGUAGGCGGUCUGUCGCGUCUGCUGUGAAAACUCAGGGCUUAACCCUGAGCUUGCAGUGGGUACGGGCAGACUAGAGUGCGGUAGGGGAGACUGGAAUUCCUGGUGUAGCGGUGAAAUGCGCAGAUAUCAGGAGGAACACCAAUAGCGAAGGCAGCUCGCUGGGACGUUACUGACACUGAGGCGCGAAAGCGUGGGGAGCGAACAGG